UACGUAGGGGGCAAGCGUUGUCCGGAAUCAUUGGGCGUAAAGCGCGUGUAGGCGGCCCGGUAAGUCCGCUGUGAAAGUCCAGGGGCUCAACCCUGGGAUGCCGGUGGAUACUGUCGGGCUCGAGUCCGGAAGAGGCGAGUGGAAUUCCUGGUGUAGCGGGUGAAAUGCGCAGAUAUCAAGGAAGAACACCCGUGGCUAAGGCGGCUCUCUAGUACGGUACUGACGCUGAGACGCGAAAGCGUGGGGAGCGAACAGGAU
rnacentral:rRNA from 1 species